CAUUUUUAAAUACUUUUAGUUCACAUUUUUUAAUGUUUAAAAACUAUGUUAACAGAGCAGUUAUAGAACAGAACUUCUUAUAUUUCUUUAUUUACACCACACUCUGAAAAAAAAAACCCAGUUCUAUUUGAUUAACUAUGAAUAGCAAAGUUUUGUGACUUGUGACUCACUUAAAUCACCCAUCUGAAAUUCAUUUACAAGGUUUUUACAUUAAUAAAACAGUAGUGUGGUACAUGUAUUGGACUCAGAUGAAGUCUAAAGUACACUGGACUCUAGAGAGUGGAUUACAUACCAACGACCAAGAUUCAAGUGUUUGGGGAAAAAAAUACCUUAGACAGUCUAUGUUGGCGUCAACACUAAAAUAAAAGGCAAACAUGCAGGACUUUCAAAGCUUGAUUAGAUAAUGGUUCUUUGUUUUCUUUCCUUCAAAUUUGUGCUCAUAAUUAAUAUUCAGGUUCCCUCUCCCCGCUUUCAUAGAUCCCAAAGUUUGAGAAAUGCAGCAAUUCAAUUGUGAAAAAAACAUUCUUCUCCCCAGCUUCUGUUUUCAUAUGUACUGUGUAGUGGUAUCAGUGUUAAAAAUGGAAGAUCAUUAUGAAGAAACAAUUUGUCAUUUGGGUAUAUCUGUUUCUAUAGGACAAGGAUUUGUGUCUAAAUAUUCCUUACUUGUAUCUCAGAGGACUAUCUGUUAAAUAAUUGAUCUUAAUGCCAGCAUAAGAAAUCAAGGGAACUAUUUCUCAGACAUUUCUUUCUCUAAAUUAAGUAGGGUUUCAGGUUCCAAGUUUACAUUGAGAGAACUAUGUUACCUGGGAGAGAAUGUAAAUUUUUCUAAUUCCCAAACAAAACCACUAAUUUCUAGGAAACAUUUAUUGUUUAUAUGCAGAUCCUAGAGACUUCUAUUUCAGUGCAGAUCAACAACUUCAAAAAUAUACAGCCUCCUAUUUAUUUACAAUAAUAUUUACAUACAAAUGAAGUAUUUCCUGCAAUAAGCCUCAGCUGCAUAGAUUCUUCCUUUAAAAACGUAAAUUUGAGCCUGUAUACAGAUGGGCCCAGUUUCAUAGCCCUUCCUUAGAUAAAAGCCUAAAGAAGGAAAAUGUCUGCACCUUGUGAACUUUACAUAUUUUGCAAGAACUUUCUCUUUGAGAUUUAGUGAUAGUUUUUAGUUGUUAGACACCCCACCUUCAGCUUGUACCUGAAAGCUUUAUCUCGUUAUAAAUAAUUCACUGUAAUUUAGGGGAAGUAUGUCCUGUUGCUAAAGGAUUCUCAAACCUGCCAUCCCCAAGGAAAAUCAUGUAUUAGUAUUGCUAAAUGAUGGUCUGUAUAUUCUUUGUUUUGAAGGUGGCUAGAUGUUUGCUGUAAACUUGAAUGGGAGAAUUAUAUUCUUAAAGUUUACACCCCCUAUAAGCCUAAAGCCAUUUAAAUUGAUAAACUGAGAGAGACUAAUAGAUUUUGCUCUAAGGUAUAAAAUCCAUUAUCUGAUCAUAUUCCUGACCUCCCCCCGACUCCAACUAAAUGUGCCAUAGUCCAACACUGUGCCUCACUGAAUUGGAACUCAGUAUUUCAUUCUUUUGAGAGCAGUUUGUAGCUCCUUAAGCAGAGCAGACCUUUCAGUAGAGAAUUCGCUUUAAAAGGAGGACAGGAUUAUCACCACACGAUUAACACAAACACUGGAGAACUUCUGACACAAAUUCAGUAUUUCUUCUAAGUCUGCAUUUACAAAGGGUCUUUUAUUUUAAUUUCUUUCACAACUGCCUCGCCCCAACCAAAGCCUCACUUUCAUUUCCUCACAGCUUUAAAAAAUAAAAUAUUAUCAUGCCUCAGCCCGAGGUAACACCGAGUGCAGGCAGCCUGUGUUUAGGAAUUUGCACCUGCGCUGCUAUUUUCAACGAGAAGGGGAUAACCAGGUGGCAGCGCUGGAUUCACUCACUUUCUUGCCAUUGCAGAGACCCCUGCCGCCAGGCUCCUUUCCUCCCCUCCCUAAAGCCUGGCUCCUGUAUGUUGCACCAUGAGUCCUAGGAAUCAUCUGGUGAGGGAGGACUAAUGGGAAGUAAAAGGGAGACUCAUUGGCUUAGGGUGGUUCUCAAACUUGAUGCGCUUUAGAAUCAUUUGCUGAGUCCCUCCCUGAGAGCUUCUGACUUCACCAUGUCUGGGAGGGGGCUGAGAAUCUGCAUUCUAAUGAGGUCCCCGAUGAUGCUGAUGCUACUGGUCUAGGGGCCACACUUUGAGAACCACUGGCUUAGAGGCAUGAAUCAAGCUCUAGAAAGCAGUCAGUUCCAGGGUAAUAGUCUUAGGUGCUCGCCGAAGCACUGAGGAAUCUUACCACAACCCUGUGUCCACCACAAGCCCUAUCACCAUCACCCAUCUGGGUGCUUCUUUUUCUCAACAGGGUCUGUAACUGUAAAAAAGGAAAGUGGGUGGAGAGGUUUUUUUUUCCCCCUUUUUUCUUGUUUUCUAACCUCCCAGCUUAUUCCUGGAGAGUUAAAACACAGUUACUAGCACUAAAAACAUUAAAAGUGCUGCGCGCUGGCCUCAAUGACUGGUACAUUGGAGAAGCUAUGCAGCAGCAUCCUUUUCUGUGGUGGGCAGGGCAGGAGAUGAACCAUAGGAGCCAAAAGUCAGACAAACAGAAGAAGGCACACCAAGCCUGAACCCUCCGGACAACAGCAGAGUUACCAGCUGAGGGAUGUCCCUGGAGGUUUCUGACCCAUGAGAGGCCCAAAAAUAUCACUACACAUCCCAGUUAAUGAUAAGGUUCUAAAUUGACUUUGUGAGGGUAAAAUGAAUUGCUAUAAAGUAACAAGGAAAAUAGAAAGUAGCAUAAUAUAGCUUGCAAACUAAAUUAUGUAUUUUUAAAGGUACAGUCAUCCCACUACCUGGCUAUUUCAUUACUUGGUGCUCUAGACAAGCUCCCAAGAACUGACUGGAUCUUGGCUUGUUCUGUUUCUGUCAUUGCUAAUAUAAUAUGGAAAACAUUGCUGAAAAGAACAGAGAUGGCCAUGGAUAUGGCUAGGUUAGGUAUUCAUAUCCAAAUAUCUGAACUCUAACCUAAUGUGGAUAUGAUUCUGUAGCAUUAUAUUAAAAGCUAUGAUGAUGCAAUGCAGGAAAUAACCUUUCAUUCUCCCCCCUAGAGGAUCACGACAGGUGCUUCAAUGCCUGCCUUAUCUAUGGGACAGUAGUGUGAUUCUCAGUGAGAGUGAAGGCCUUUGGGGAUUUGAGUCAGGAAGGGAACAUGGCUAAGUGCCUGGAAACUCUGCCAACAGUCUGCGGUUAGAUUCUACUUGUCUCUGGAUAAGAAAUCUGUGCUCAGUGAACUUAUGUGUUUGGAAAAUUUAACCAGAAUAUAGAGGAAGCAUAAGUCCUGUUUCAAGAGACCAGCUCACGGAGCAUGCACAUUUCUCACCAUAGGCAAGCUAUGGACAAUUCAAUCACAUGGGAUGGCCCCACUUAGGGGAAUGCAGUUCUGGGUUUCCUUGCUAUCCCUAUUCUUUUUCAGCUACAAACUCUCUUCUUUUUCAGUCUCUUCAGUUUCCUUGUGCUCCCUUUAGGAGAGGGACAAGGGUAAGAGUACCAGGCAACUCUGUCCUCCUGCAUGGACAGUUGAGACGGGCAGUAAUGGCACAGUCCUUGGUUGGGGAAGAGAAGAGGAGACAGCACAGACACUGAGACCCCCUUGUCUUCCUCAUCUGGGGGAAGGAAGGUACUCAGUGAUUCUGUCAGAAGCUCUUCACAAAGACUAUCUCUGAGGGUUUUUUUUUUUUUUUUUUCACAAGACUAGAUGGAGAAUUAAUGAAGAAGAAAUAGAAAUGAGGCUUAUUUAAGGUACAAAAUUCUUGUAUUUGUAAUAACCUAGAUUUAUAGAUAUAAAACAAGUCUUUUAAAGACUUCCCUAAAAUACUCAAUAUAAAACAGGAGUUACUUAUCCU
rnacentral:lncRNA from 10 species